AGAGUUUGAUCAUGGCUCAGGAUAAACGCUGGCGGCGUGCCUAAUACAUGCAAGUCGAGCGGUAAGGCUCCUUCGGGAGUACACGAGCGGCGGACGGCUGAGUAAGGCGUAGGAACAUACCCCAAAGUGAGGGAUAAGCACCAGAAAUGGUGUCUAAUACCGCAUGUGGUCUUCGGAUUAAAGCUUCGGCGCUUUGGGAAUGGCCUGCGUAUGAUUAGCUUGUUGGUGAGGUAAUAGCUCACCAAGGCGACGAUCAUUAGCUGGUCUGAGAGGAUGAUCAGCCAGACUGGGACUGAGACACGGCCCAGACUCCUACGGGAGGCAGCAGUAGGGAAUUUUCCACAAUGGGCGAAAGCCUGAUGGAGCAACGCCGCGUGCAGGAUGAAUGCCUUCGGGUUGUAAACUGCUUUUCUCUGUGACGAUAAUGACGGUAACAGAGGAAUAAGGAUCGGCUAAUUCCGUGCCAGCAGCCGCGGUCAUACGGAAGAUCCAAGCGUUAUCCGGAAUUACUGGGCGUAAAGAGUUGCGUAGGUGGCAGAGUAAGCAAAUAGUGAAAUCGUGUGGCUCAACCAUACACCCAUUAUUUGAACUGCUCAGCUAGAGGGCGAGAGAGGUAGCUGGAAUUCCUAGUGUAGGAGUGAAAUCCGUAGAUAUUAGGAGGAACACCGAUGGCGUAGGCAGGCUACUGGCUCGUCCCUGACACUAAGGCACGAAAGCGUGGGGAGCGACCGGGAUUAGAUACCCCCGUAGUCC
rnacentral:rRNA from 1 species